rnacentral:rRNA from 1 species
GAUGAACGCUGGCGGCGUGCUUAACACAUGCAAGUCGAACGGGAAAUAUUUCAUUGAGACUUCGGAGGAUUUGAUCUAUUUCUAGUGGCGGACGGGUGAAUAACGCGUGGGUAACCUGCCUUAUACAGGGGGAUAACAGUCAAAAAUGGCUGCUAAUACCGCAUAAGCACACAGAGCUGCAUGGCUCAGUGUGAAAAACUCCGGUGGUAUAAAAUGGACCCGCGUUGGAUUAACUAGUUGGGGGGGUAACGGCCCACCAAGGCGACGAUCCAUAGCCGGACUGAGAGGGUGAACGGCCACAUUGGGACUGAAACGCGGCCCAGACUCCUACGGGAGGCAGCAGUGGGGAAUAUUGCACAAUGGGGGAAACCCUGAUGCAGCGACGCCGCGUGAAGGAAGAAGUAUCUCGGUAUGUAAACUUCUAUCAGCAGGGAAGAUAGCGACGGUACCUGACUAAAAAGCCCCGGCUAACUACGUGCCAGCAGCCGCGGUAAUACGUAGGGGGCAAGCGUUAUCCGGAUUUACUGGGUGUAAAGGGAGCGUAGACGGUGUGGCAAGUCUGAUGUGAAAGGCAUGGGCUCAACCUGUGGACUGCAUUGGAAACUGUCAUACUUGAGUGCCGGAGGGGUAAGCGGAAUUCCUAGUGUAGCGGUGAAAUGCGUAGAUAUUAGGAGGAACACCAGUGGCGAAGGCGGCUUACUGGACGAUAACUGACGUUGAGGCUCGAAAGCGUGAG